rnacentral:sRNA from 1 species
AGUUGGUAAUGAUGAGAAUGUGAAA